GACAGAGGUGCCGAGCGUUAGGCGGAAUCACUGGGCUUAAAGCGUGUGUAGGCGGGCCGUUAAGUAUCUUGUGAAAUCCCCCCGGCUCAACCGGGGAAUGGCUGGAUAUACUGGCGGUCUUGAGCGAUCUAGGGGCAGAUGGAACAGACGGUGGAGCGGUGAAAUGCGUAGAUAUCGUCUGGAACGCCAAAGGUGAAGACAGUCUGGCUGGGGAUCUGCUGACGCUGAGACAACGAAAGCCAGGGGAGCGAACGGG
rnacentral:rRNA from 1 species